rnacentral:rRNA from 1 species
UACGGAGGGGGCGAGCGUUAUUCGGAAUUAUUGGGCGUAAAGGGCGCGUAGGCGGCUUGACAAGUCAAAGGUGAAAUCCCUCGGCUCAACUGAGGAACUGCCUUUGAAACUGUCUGGCUUGAGGCCGGGAGGAGGUAGCGGAAUUCCCAGUGUAGCGGUGAAAUGCGUAGAUACUGGGAGGAACACCAGUGGCGAAGGCGGCUACCUGGACCGGUUCUGACGCUGAGGCGCGAAAGCGUGGGUAGCAAACAGG